UUUAUUGUUGCAGCUUCUUUUCUCCACCAGGACCUCCAGCUGAAGGUGAAAGUGGAUGUGAGUUGAGCAGCAUGAGUCAGUGUGAGGACAGAGAGGAGGGAGUCCCUCCCUCUAAAAGCACUCUGUGUGGGGAACAUGACAGCCAGACCAAAGCUCAGAGCCCAGAGCAGCAGCAGGGACCGGACUCUGCUGGACCUGGACCUGAGCCCAGCUGUGUGUCCUUCAACAGUGACCGGUCAAAUCCUCGCCAUAUUAAUUUUAAAGGACGACAACCCUCUGCUGGACCUGGACCUGGACCUG